CGCGUGCCGGCGACCGCGCACGGGUGAGUAACACGUAUGCAACCUGCCCGUGGCAGGGGGAGUAAGCGGGGGAAACCCCGUCUAAUACCGCGUAACGCGGCCUUGGGGCAUCCCAAGGCCGCCAAAGGGAGCAAUCCCGGCCACGGAUGGGCAUGCGGCGCAUUAGCUAGUCGGCGGGGUAACGGCCCACCGAGGCGACGAUGCGUAGGGGUUCUGAGAGGAAGGCCCCCCACACUGGUACUGAGACACGGACCAGACUCCUACGGAAGGCAGCAG
rnacentral:rRNA from 1 species